rnacentral:rRNA from 1 species
UCCUACGGGAGGCAGCAGUAGGGAAUCUUGCGCAAUGGGGGAAACCCUGACGCAGCCAUGCCGCGUGAAUGAUGAAGGUCUUAGGAUUGUAAAAUUCUUUCAGCGGGGAAGAUAAUGACGGUACCCGCAGAAGAAGCUCCGGCUAACUUCGUGCCAGCACCCGCGGUAAUA